rnacentral:rRNA from 1 species
AAAUUGAAGAGUUUGAUCAUGGCUCAGAUUGAACGCUGGCGGCAGGCCUAACACAUGCAAGUCGAACGGUAACAGGAAGCAGCUUGCUGUUUCGCUGACGAGUGGCGGACGGGUGAGUAAUGUCUGGGAAACUGCCUGAUGGAGGGGGAUAACUACUGGAAACG